UCUAAAGCCAAACCUAAAUGAAUGCAUAAGGGAGGAUACCAGGGGUCUCUUGUACGGAGCCGAUUUACUGUGCCACCUCAGGCUCAGUCCUGGCAGGGUCUCCCUGAAGUCCUGCCCCCUGCUGCUCUGGACGGAAACCCCUGACUCCUGAACAGGGCCAUUACCUUCAAAGCCCAUAGCAAGCACUCCGUGAAGCCUCCACCCCUGUGGGAUCGAUGUCCCUCUCCUGCCCAGGACAUCCAGAACAUCUUGUCUGCCAGAAAUCAGCAUGCUUGGGCUGUAAUAUUCA